rnacentral:lncRNA from 1 species
UCUUAAAACCUAGAUAUAUGGUUUGUUAUUUGUUAAUUGGUUGUACAUUGAUAAUGCGAAACCGCAUCAGUAACUUGAUGUUAUAAAACGCAUUGUUGUGUAUAGUUGAUUAAUGAAUAAGUAAAUGCAUAUAAGUCGAAGUUUAUCUGUUACUUUUAUCCUAAGAGGGUAAAAGCGAUAUCUCGGCCGCUCGAUGAUUUGAUUUGACUUAUGUGUCGGGCCCGGUCAGAACUGAAUUGAUGUGUUCGAUUAAGUUCUAUGUCAAAUAAAUCGGAGAUCGAGAAACCAAAUGCUAGACAAAUUAGUUCCAUAUAAAUGUCAGCAUGAUAUCUAAACAGAGGACUGUACGAUCCCUUAUCUAAAGGACAAGAUUGAUUAGAUCAGAGUUUGACAGCGUCUUUGAGAGCUACGAUUGCAAAUCGGAUUGUACUUGUGCAUAUAGUUACUAGACUUAUCCAAGUGGGAGACUGUUGGAAUAGUGUCUAAGGCUGCAACUAUAUUAGGCAAGUAUUUGACCCGAUUGUGCAUGGUCCUUUUGGGUUGCCUUCACCAUAGCAACCUGACAGGAUGAUUUAUUAUGAGAGAAUAAAUAUUAUUAAUAUAUUAUGAGAAUAAUAUAAGGUAUAAUAAUAUUAUUAUUUGAGUAAUAUAAGUCAUAAAUUAAUUAGGAAUUAAUUUGGUGACUUAAAGACAUUAAUUAAAUAAAGGGGUAUAAACUGUCAAUUGUUUGAUAGUUGCACUUUGGGCUAUAUAUCCUUUAUGGAUGAGGGGUGGACGAUUUCUAGGGCUAAGGAUAGCCAUAAAAUCGUCUAGGGCUUAUCAUGAAAGGGAUUUCGAUUUCUUAGGGCCUAAGUUAUCCAAUUAGGGUUUAAGGGUGAAACCCUAGGAGCCUUGCAAGUAUAAAUAGACCCUUAGGGUCAAGAGAAAUUGGCACUUGUGCUUAGAGAAGAAACCCUGGCCGAAUUUCUCUUCCCUCCUCUCUCUCAAAUCAUCCUCCUUGCUAGUUGGUGUUUGUAAGCCAUUAGAGGAGUGACAAUUGUGACUCUAAAGCCUCAAGGACAAGAAGAUCAAGCAAGUGUUUCAAGGUAAACUUCUAAUCUCUGUUUUAUAUUGUUAUUAAACUCUAUUAGCCAUUAGAAGUCUUGGAUUCAAUGUAUGUUCAAUUAAAGAAACCUAGAUCCAAGCAUUAGGGUUGCAUGUGCACAUAGGAAUGUUCAUAUGGCUAAAACCCAUCAUCAUACUGCAGACUCUAUAUGCAUGUUGUUUGUUAUGAUAUGGUUGUGGUUUGUAUGGCGUUGUUAUUUUGGGGGAAAUGACUAAGCUUCGGGCUUACAAGGUUGGAUUUUGUUUCAGGUACUUCGGAUGAUCGCAGGAAGGCGAAGGCUUGAUCAUGCACCUCCUCAGAUUUUAUGAUUUUUAUUUCUGGGAUACUCUGAUAUGAAACUUUUUUGAAAAUAUUUUGUAAUAAGUAAUGGUUUUGGAUACUUGAAAAAGUUUGAAAUUUUUAUGAUUUUUUAUGGAUGUUACAUCGGUAACUUUAUGGGUUACAAGAUGGUUGACUCUAGGCCUGUUAUGGAACAAUUCCAAGAAAUAUUAAGGAUUUAGGGACACUUUGCUCAACACAAUCUGAAAAUGGAUGAAACCAUUUAUGUGACUGUGUCAACUUAAAAGCCAUUUACGGAUUGAAUAUUCCUUAAGGACUCAAGAACUUGAUAACAAUCCCAAAGGCAAGAACCAAGUUGGUUCCUCUUCUGUGAACAUGGUGGAUGGAGAAGCAUCAAAGAAUCAAAACAAGUCUAAUGGAAAAAGGAAGUUCAAAGGAAAGGAAUGUUGGAUUAGAUGUCUAAGCCAAUAACUAUUGUUGGUAUGUAGUUGACCGGAGAGUAGCAUGGUCCAUUUGGGGUCCAUAUCACCAUGACAAUUUGUUAGGAUAGACUUUUGAGAGAAGGUUAUGUAUGAUUUAUUAAUAUAUUAUAAGUUCUAAUAUAUUAAAAUGAAAUCAUAUGUUUUAAUUAGUAUUGAUCAAGAACUAAUUUGGAAUUAAAUUAGUGAUCAAAAGAGACUAAUUAAAUCUAUGGGGACUAAUUAUGGUAAUUAAUUAUAUUUAUAUGUGUUGGACUUAUGAUCCAUGUUGGACCAAGUUUAUGUAUGGAUACAUAAAGAGUUGGGCCACAUUAACCAUGGAUCAUAAACCCAUGGGUAUGGGCUUGGGUUAACCCAUGACCUUUGGAAUUCCACAUAUAAAUAUGUUGCUUCAUAGCCAAAAUCACCACUAAUGUAUUCUUGGAGGAUAUGGGCGGUUUUGGUGUGUAGUAAUUCUCUCUCAUGUUUCAUCCUUUGUCCAUGAUGUGUUGUGACUUCAUUUGAGGCUUCCACACUAUUGGGGCUAAGCUCUUAAGGCCAAAUACAUCAAGACUUCAAGAUACAUAAAAGGUAUGUUACUCUAAUUAGUAUCUUAUUUGGUAUAUGAAAAUUGCAUGCUAGUUAUAGGAUUAAUGCCUUGGAAACCAUUUGCAUGUAUAAUUAGUGAAAACAUAGAUCCAAGUUAUUUAGGGUUGUAUGUACACCAUAGGAUAUUGUACUAUACUAAAACCCAUCAAGGAUGACAAGUCUUCCAACAAGAAAGCAAAAGUGGUGUGUUAGGAUUGUAACAAACUGUGUCACUCCAAGAAAGAUUGUCGUUUUCAUAAAAUGAACAAGGAUGAUGCUGGACCAAGUGGAUCCAAGGAUCCAGAAAAGCAAUAAGGUCGGAUUUCUAUUUUCAUGCAGAAUUCUAAAUAUAUUCAGAAUUAGAUUUCUAUGAAUUCUGAAGCAUUUAUGUGCGGGAUGAUAAUCUUGCAUGGUGGUUUGAUUCGGGAGCAACAGUCAUGUUUUCAAAGAUUUAUAUUGGUUCAAGGACAUUCAACCAAUUGAAGAUAGAUUUGUUGUGAAGAUGGGAAAUGUUACAACUAAACCAAUCAAGGGACUAGGGUUUGCUUUACUUACCUUUACUUCUAGGAAAUGUUUGUGUUUUAACAAUGUUUUAUAUGAUCUAGGGAUUCGUAAGAAUCUUGUGUCUGAAAAUUUAUUAAAUAAUUGUGGUUACAAACAAGUAUUAGAAAGUGACAAGUGUAUCUUGUCAAGACAUGGUUCUUGUAUGGGAUUUGGAUAUGUAUAUAAUGGAAUGAUUAGUCUUAAUAUUAAUUAUCCUUUUAUUGAUAAUUCUGUUUGCAUGGCUUCUACUAGUACUAGCAAUAAUUUUAAGAAAUAUGAUUUAUGGCAUGCUAGACUAAGACACAUUCAUUACAAUAAAUUAAAAAGACAUGUCUAAAAUUAGUUUAAUUCCUGCUUUUGAUAUACAAAAUAAUGAAAAAUGUAAAACCUGUAUGGUAACUAAAAUCACUAGAUAACCUUUCAAAUAUGUUGUUAAGGAAAAGAAGGUGUUGGAUCUUAUACGUAGUUAUUUAUGUGAUUUCCAUGCAACACCUUCCCUUGGAAACAAAAUGUAUGUUGCUACUUUUAUUGAUGAUGCAUCUAGAUAUUAUUAUGUCUAUUUGCUACAUUCUAAGGAUGAAGCACUUGAUAAAUUUAAAACUUAUAAAAAACAAGUUGAGCUUCAUAAAAAUGAAUUAAUAAAAGUCUUGCUUACUGAUAGAGGCAAUGUUCACUGUGUGUUACAUCUUGAACAGAACUCCAAAUAAAAGGAGUAAGAGUACUCCUUGUGACCCUUGGUGUAAAAAGAUACCAAAUUUGAGUUAUCUCAAAGUUUGACACUACUAGAAAAACAGCCUUUUACGACGCUCAUUGCGCGUCGUAAAGGGCUCAGACGACGCGCAAAUGCGCGUCAAGAAAGGCCCUGUCAUCAAGAGAGACAACGCACUUUUUCACUUCGUCUAUAGACGACGCGCAUUUAUGAUGCGCAUUUACAACGUGCGGUUAUGACACGAAAUGCGUAUCAAGGAAAGCCCUGUCAUAAAGGAAGACGACACACAUUUACGUGUCGUAACCUUACGACGCGCAUGUUUAUGACACGCAAUGCGUAUCAAGGAAGCCCCUGUCAAGAAAGGUCAUGUCAUAAAUAAAGAUGACACACAUUAAUGCGUAUCAUAAUUUUAAAUGUUAAAAACAAUAUUAUUUACAGAUUUACUAAUUUUCAAAUUAAAUUUGCAUUUAAUGUCUCAUAACACAAAAUAAAAUACCAUAUACAAAAAAUACAAUCCAUUGCAUAAAAUUUAUUGUCAUACAAAUAACAAACUUUAUUUCAUAUUCAUACAUAUGAUUACAUUAUUCAUUAAAAAAAGCAUAUACCUACAUCUUCCCCUAAAAUGUUAUUACAUGAUGUUGGCCACUUCAUUGAUGGAUCACCAAGAGGAAAACCAACAACUGCCCUAAAAUGUUCCAUGAUGUGCCGAUACUCAUGUUCUGUAACUUUAAAUAUUUAAGAAAGUAAAAUACCUCCUAAAAAUAAAAAUGCACAAGAAACAACACAUCAUAAUGAGAAAUUACUAACAUGAAUGGAAGAAGUACACUAUAAAUUUGUUUUACCAAGAGUGGCAUGGACGAUCAGGUGCUACAAAGUUUGUCCAAGCUGCCAAACAAAGACUGCAUGCAAGCCAAAACAUACAUACACUAUAAAUUUAAUUACCAUACAAAUCAUAUUCAUACAUACGAGUUUGUUUUACCUUUUUUUUUCCUCGUAUCUUUAUUUUUUUUAUUCUUAUUAACUAUGGAGUGUUGGUGUUUUCUUUUAUUUCGUUCAAUCAACCCUUUGUUUUACUUUGAAAAAUUAACAAUUUCCCUACCAAUUGACUCUGCAUCAAACAGAAAAAAGUAAGUCAAUCAAUAGUAAAUGGUGAAUACCAACUACAAGUUUUUACUGAAGUAACCUGACACCAUAAAUACUUUGGUUUAAUAAACAGGAACAUGUAUGUAUAAAAAUCGCAAUUGAAGUACUUUGGUCUAAUACCUCCAUUUCUAGUAAGUGUCCAAUCAUUGUUUGUGAAGGUUGAAGACCUUCAAACAAAAAACUCCCAGCAAUGUCAUUAAUGUGCAUCUUAAGAACAGGAAACUAUUGUAGUUCAUGCACUAGACAACUAUGGGUGAUCUGAAAUAUUUCCCAAAUAUUUAUUUAUUCUGAAUUAUAAAAAAAGAAAAAGAAAAAGAAAAAAAGAUAAUACCUUUACUAAUUCAUUGUAUACAAGUCUAACACAUUGAAGACAAUGAUCCAACAACCGAGCUAUUUGUCUUCGAACCAAAACUUGAAGUGGAACCUAUAUAUAUGUCAUUAUGCCUUCACAACAUUAACAUUAAGAAUAAUAAAUUAAAUUAGAAAAAAAAAUAAGAAUGGUGAUAUAUACUUGAUGCAGUUCUCAUGAACACCACCAUGAGAUUUAUCAUUGCUGGUUCCUUGUUUUGAGUUUCCAUAGAACUUCCCANUAUAUAUAUAAAGAGAGAGAGAGAGAGAGAGAGAGAGAAAUAAUAAUGAACGUGUUUGCACCUGCCAUUCGGACCACAAACAUCAUCUGUGUUUGCUCCUGAAAUCAAUAACAUAAGAAUUAAUAGUAAGUCAACAUUUAACUGUUAUUUUAAUUAUUGAUGUGAAAGAGCUCACUCACAUGCUAGAAUUUAAAAGCCCAACGUCCAGUACCAUGUUGUUGCUUAAAGGAUAAAGCCCAAGCAUUUGGGUCCCCACCGUGUUCUUGGGAAAAUUCAUCAGCCCAACCAUCUGCAUGGGGCCCGGGCCCCAUGACUUGCGACUCUCCCCAAUACUGAUCCAGCUUUGCGUAUCUACCAGGAAUGUGCUCCCUAACCAACCCCUCAUGAUUAUCGAUCUCUAAAUAAGAUAACCGAGCAUUCACCUGAACAAGUAUUAAUAUAUGUAUUUAGUUCAUCUAUCAAGAUUGUAUAUUAGGUAGGUCAAUAGAGUAGUUGUAGCUACUCUAAUUUUCAUGGUUUAUAGAACACGUUGUGAUUUCAUCUUUAAUAGCCCUGCCAAAUAUUUUGAUUUGAAUACUUAAUUACCAAGCAACCUUUCAGAUUACAGAAAAUGAUAAGACACCAAGCAUGGUCAUGUCACUAAACGAGGCCUUAGCUUAUUACAAUAGAAUUGGUUGUUGUUGUUGGAAAGAAGAAUAUUUGAUUUUCAGCUAACUUUCCUAAUUCCUAAUUUAAUUCUCUUGUUUAUAUGUAAAAUCUUCAUCAACUUUUGCUUAUCUAAUAAGAUUGCUCCCUCCCUGAAUCAUAACAAGGAACGUGAAGCAAAAUCUCAAAUCUUUUUAUUGGCCAAGACUUAAGACCAUAUCAACCUUCAAGGCUGUUACAUCUAACUCAUAUGUGAUCAAUANGUUACAUCUAACUCAUAUAGUGAUCAAUAAUGUGUGUAUAUAUAGAAAAAGUGUAGGUUGUGUCAUCAUACCUUAAAUGAGAAAUUACUGAAUGAGUAAUUCACAUUGAGAGUUGAAGCACCAAAUUCUUCCAGGUUACCACAUUCAUCACCCGGCCUGUUUAAUCACACAACCAAAUAAUCAAGGAUUACAAAAGAAACCAGGUAUGUGUGUGCGUCUGUGUGUGUGUGUGAUGAAAAGGAUGCAUGGAUAUGAGAUCAUACCUCUUCCUCUAGCAUAUUGCCGAAAGAACUAUCACCAAAUGUGCUGCCUGUAUCAGACAUAUCAUCAAAAUCGCUGUCUCCAUCAACCUGCUCAUCUUCUGGAUUCCAAAUAGACCGGCUCAUGAAAUAACUCGUGUCCAGAGUCUCACAAGAUGGUAUGAAUGUAGCCUGAUUGAAACAUAUCCCCACACAACUCAACUCAACUCAACUCUUAUAAAACAACUUUUUUUUCUUAGAAUAAAAGUUGAAAAUAGAUGAAAUUACCUUCUGCCUUGCAAGUGUGUCCCAAUAGAUAUUCUUAAAGAAAUGGUGCAUCUCUACCUGUUUGUUUANUGUGUGUGUGUUUAAUUAAUAUGUGUUUUAACUUUAUAUAUAUAUAUAUAUAUAUAUAUAAAGUGUAGGUUGUGUCAUCAUACCUUAAAUGAGAAAUUACUGAAUGAGUAAUUCACAUUGAGAGUUGACGCACCAAAUUCUUCCAGGUUACCACAUUCAUCACACGGCCUGUUUAAUCACACAGCCAAAUGAUCAAGGAUUACAAAAGAAACCAGGUAUGUGUGUGUGUCUGUGUGUGUGUGUGGAAAAGGAUGCAUGAAUAUGAGAUCAUACCUCUUCCUCUAGCAUAUUGCCAAAAGAACUAUCACCAAAUGUGCUGCCUGUAUCAGACAUAUCAUCAAAAUCGCUGCCUCCAUCAACCUGCUCGUCUUCUGGAUUCCAAAUGUACAACCCCUAUGGCACUAAGGCGUUGAGCUGGAUUUUCAGUCAGCAACCUAAAAUUGAAAUAAACAUAAACAUAAUUAUAAUUAUGUAUAAAUAUGUGAUGAUUGGAUUGAUUGAUAAAAAAGUAGAAACUUACUUAUUAAUCAGAUCAUAUGCUUCAUAGCUCAUCUCCUCAGGAAUCUUGGGCCAUGUUACAUCUCUGUUCAUAAUGUUGGCAAAGACUUACAUCACCCUAACCCAACCAAAUUCAGAAAAUGAGAAGAUGACCAAAGUACGUUUGUUACCUUUUUAUGCAAUGCAAUGCAAUCUACUCUCCAUCCUCAACAAAGAGUCAUACUUUUAUGAGAGUGAGUACCUGUGGAGAUUCUGCAUUAAAUGGUGGUAUCCCAACAAGUAACUCAAAAAGAAUAACACCAACAGACCACUAGUCAGCGGUUGUACCUACAACAAACCAAACCAAAGGAAUUAAGUGUGUUUCAACUUUCAAUAUAUAGAUAAGCAAUAAGCAGAAAGACAUUUGAACAAAUGAUAAAGGGUAAAGGGCAGGGGGUAUAAUUGUAAAUUCCAGCCAUGUCCCACGCCAAGAAGUAUCUCAGGAGCCAGAUAGUCAGGAGUCCCAACAACCGACUAUUUCUAAGAAGUUCUAGUGGGAUUCACUGAGUCAAUUCUAGUGGGCUAAGCCCUUUAGAUGUUUAUUAGCAACAACAGAGACUGCCUUCAGAUGAGUUGAGUUAUUUUAAAUGGAAUACAUUUAAACAACACUACAUUCUCAUCUGUUUUCAUCUCUCUCAACUUGGCAACAAAGUUAGCAGGUUCUAAAUAAAGUACACGUGGAUCUACCAAAACAUGUCAUACAUACAUACCUCCACUUAAACAAUACAUUAGAUAUAAUCAAGAAAAUGAUAUUGGCACAAAUUACCAAAUAAAAAAAAGUAAACACUACAAUAUGUCACUGUUGUCAUCUUCUGGAAAGGACAACCUACCAUUAUUCCAGCAGUAACAAGUAUGGCUGGAUAAUUCUAAGCUUUUACCUAUUCAAAGUAGACACCCAUCAGUAAUUAACUUCAACAUUUUCAUUUGAUGAUNGCCUCAGCAGUGAGGACUGCUGACUACGGCAAGGAAUUAUAGACUCCAGGAGAGUAUCGAACGAACGACACACCUGGUUCAGUCUAACAAGUAGAGACUCAGACCCCAGGAGGUACCAAAUGAAAGGUACGGCUGGUAAGGCCUAAAACAGUGAAAAACAGUGAAAACAGUGGAUACAGUGAAUACAGUANUUCAUGUAAAAGUAGAACUCUUCUUUCCGAGGAUCACCCCAUUCCUGUAAUAGAGCAAGUCAUUCACAUCUAGAAAGAAACAUACUAAUAUUAUCAUAGCAUCCUGCUUUGAGUUUCCAAAACAAAAAAAAAUAUUAUAUAUAAAUCAGCUCCCAUUCUGCAGUUAUAAGAGGAAUAGUUGGACCAAGCAUCGUAGUCACAACAUCUACUAAUGCUACUCCAGCUACAGUAGCCUUAAAUAAAUCAGGUCUCAUGUUCACAACAGCACCAAUAAGCAACCCCCCUGCACUUCUUCCAUUAAUGGACAGUUUUUCUUUCGUACAAUAUUUCUUUUGGUUUGAGAAGUUUGAGUUUCACCUAUGUCGUUGGGUGAUUGAAGGCGAUGAGGCUGCGUUUUCUUCUUAGAGAGAGGGAGGGCGAGAAAGUAAACACAAACCUCACAAAUUAGAGAGGUUAUCGAAACCAUUAAGGGGAACACCAAUGAAAAAUCCAACGGAUUAUUGAGAGAAAAACUGAUUUUUGUUUGUUUAAAAGCUAUCGAAGUAUCAAGAAAUUUCCAAUCCAGGAGAAUUUAGAAAGCAGAUAGAUAGGUACCUGAUUUGACUAGAAGCGCAACUGGACUAGGGUUUGUAAAUUUGAGGAGUCGUUGUAGAUGGAGUAGGGUAGAGGUGAAGAGGAGUUCAGUUACGAAUUUUAUGUUGUGAUUAUUGUGUCUAAAUUUCGCCAUAAAGAUACGAUUGAGAGAGAAUGGUCUUCGAUUUUUGGAAGGAAGUGAGGGUGUUACAGAGAGGGGGAUCAAACUUGCGUGGAGAUCUAAGGAGAGAGUGAGCGGUCUUCGAUCCGAUCGAGAGAGAAUCGUCGCCAUAAAGAUACGAUCGAGGAAAAUCGUCUUGAGAGGGGAAAUUAUUUGGGAAGAACUUGAAGCAUUUGAAACCCUAGACCUUGAUUCGAUGUAACUUGAUAGUGGCCAUUGUAGAUUGAUAGAUUGAAUACCUGGAGCGAUCCCUUGUGAAGAAAGCUGCGCGAUUACAGAGAGUCCUUGUUGACCGGAUCCAAAGAUUCCGUUAAUGGCUUUAUCGGGUUUGGUUAAAUCCCCAGUUUGGAAUGUGCUACAUCUGGUUCAUGAACUUGCCAAGUUAAUUAGGGUUUUUUAAUGAAAAAUGAAAGGGGUUAAUGGAUUAGGAUGAUGUCAUACCUGAGAAAACAAAGAAAAAGUAAGAGACCUCGCAGAUCAAUUAUGAUUCACCUUCGAGGUUUACAGAGAGACAGGAGGUAGAGAAUGAAGGGAGAUCUAGAGGAGAGAGUAUCAGAGAGGGGAGAGUGGAUUGCAAGGAUGAAAAAUAGAUAGAAGAUAGAAAAAACAAGGCGGGUUUUCAAAAUUUUGGGGAUUUCGUUUCCCCCUUCAUUAACUAAAAGCGCGUUUCAUUAAAAUUAUAAAGCGACAUGUACAGACGACGCGCGUUUAAGAUAAAGCGCCCUCCGUGUUUCUAAUUUUUUUCUUGAGACACAAAAUUAAGGGCACGCAAUAAUGUGUGACGAUAACACUAUUUUAAGGGCACGUCCUAUUGCGUAUCGUUAAUCAACGCGUGUUGUAAAAAGCGCGUCAUUAAAGGUCUAUUUUCUAGUAGUGUGAGGCUGUAGAGCAGUUGUAAGGCUCACUCAACCCAAAAGGAAAACAUUGGGUGAGAGAGGUGUAGAUUGUAUCUUUAUUAGAUAUGCUGAGCAUUCCAAAGCAUAUAUAUUCUAUGUUUUAGAAUCUAAUGACUUUGUGUCUAUGAACACUAUGAUAAAUUCAAGAGAUGUUAUAAAUAUUUACAUCUAUACCUAGUCCAAGGGACAUGAUUCAUCAAUCUUUCACCAAAGGUACAAAUCAAGGUGAAGAUGUUUUUGGUGGUGCAAGUUAUGUACCUGAACCUAGGAAAAGUACAAGACCUAGAAAAGAUAAGUCUUUUGGAUCUGAUUUUAAACUUUAUUUAGUUGAAGGAACAAGGAAUGAUACUAUAUGUCAACAUCAAUAUUGUUUGAAUAUUGAGGAGGAUCCAAAGAAUUUUAGUGACGCUAUGGCUUCUAGAGAUGUUCAUUUUUAGAAAGAAGCAAUUCAUGAUGAGAUUGAUUCUAUCAUGCAUAACAAUACUUGGGUAUUGUCAGAUUUACCUCCUGGUUGCAUGGCAUUGGGAAGUAAGUGGAUCCUCAAAAGGAAAAUGAAAGUGGAUGUCACAAUUGAUAAUUAUAAAGCCAAAUUGGUUAUCCAAGAAUUUAGGCAAAAAGAAAGCAUUGACUUCUUUGAUACCUAUGCUCCUAUUGCUAGAAUUUCCACUAUGAGAUUAUUGUUAGCUCUUACAACUAUACAUAAUCUUGUGAUUUACCAAAUGGACGUGAAAGUUGCAUUCUUGAAUGGUGACUUGGAUGAGGAUAUUUACAUGAAACAAUCUAAAGGAUUUGUGAUGCCUGGUAAUGAACAUAAGGUGUGCAAGUUUAAGAAAUCAUUAUAUGGUUUGAAACAAGCACCAAAACAAUGGCAUCAAAAGUUUGAUGAUGUGAUAUUAUCUAAUGGUUUUGCAUUAACCAGGAUGCCAAAUUUGUAUAUAGCAAAUUUGAUUCUGGUAAAGGAGUUAUAAUUUGUCUAUAUGUUGAUGAUAUGUUAAUCUUUGGCACUGAUCAAGGUGAAGUUGAUAAAACCAAGAAAUUCUUAUCAUUUAGUUUUGACAUGAAAGACAUGGGGGAUGUUGAGGUAAUUCUCGGUAUAAGAAUUAGAAAAGGAAACAAUGGGAUUUCAAUUUCUCAAUCUCAUUACAUUGAGAAGAUAUUGAAAAAGUUUAACUUUGAGAAUUGUUCUCCUGUUAGAACUCCUAUAGAUCCUAGUCUUAAGCUUCUACCUAAUAAAGGAUCUCAAGUGUCUCAACUUGAAUACUCAAGAGCUAUUGGUUGUUUAAUGUAUGCCAUGAUUAGUACUAGGCCUAAUAUAACAUAUGUUGUGGGAAGGCUUAGUAGAUAUACUAGUAAUCCUAGUUUACAUUAUUGGCAAGAUGUGAGUAGAGUAUUCAAGUAUUUGAAAGGACCAUGAAUUAUGGUUUAACUUAUAGUGGAUAUCCUUCUGAUUUGGAACAUUAUUCAGAUGCCUGCUGGAUUAACAACUUAGAGGAUCACUCCUCUACAAGUGGUUGGGUGUUUCUUCUUGGAGGAGGUGCCAUUUCUUGAGUAUCUAGGAAACAAACUUGUAUUCCUAACUUAACCAUGAAGUCUGCGUUUGUUGCAUUGUCUGCUGCUGGUAAAGAAGCUGAGUGGCUAAGGAAUUUGAUUUAUGAAAUUCCAUUAUGGCCUAAACCGAUAUCUACCAUUUCUAUCACAUGUGACAGUGCUACAACCUUAGCUAAGGCUUAUAGUCAAGUGUACAAUGGAAAGUCUAGACAUUUAGGUGUUAGACAUAGCAUGAUUAGUGGGCUCAUCAUGACUGGUGUGAAAUCUAUGGAGUUUGUAAGAACCCAGUUAAAUUUUCCCGAUCAUCUAACCAAAGGGUUAGUAAGAGAUCUUGUGCGCAAGGCAGCUGUAGGGAUGACUUUAAAGUCCACUUAUAAUCUUUUAUAUUGAGAUACCCAAUUCCCAUCUAAUGUAAUAUUAAAUUUUGAAUUCAAUGUGGAAAGAUUGAUAUUUGAAGAUUUGAAAACAUUAUUUAAAGCUUGUAUUCUUAAUAGUUCUUUUGAAAAAUUGCAUUUACAGAUGCAAGAAUAAAAGGACUACCUAUAUAGGCAUGAAGUUUAGUUGCUUCAAGAAGUUAGGACUUGACUUUGAUAUGCUUAUUGAAGGAUGAGACACAAGCUAGUAAAAUAUUGUGUCAAGUUAGAACUUAUAAGAACAUAAAGUGUUGUGUGUAUUAUUUUCAUGUAUUCACUGUGAGUAGAAAAGGUUCAAUCCUUAGUGACACCUUGAUAUUCGAAUAUUUGGAUUGAAUAAUAUACUAAUGUGAAAUUCAAUCGUCAUGACAUUUCAUUUAUGCAUCUGAUUGUUGAUGUUAUGUUUUGUUUUAAGUUAAUCAAGAUUGCACUUAAGUGGGGGAGAUUUGUUGGUGAUUUUGUAUCAUCAAUGUGUACUUAAGUGUAAUGGAUUGACUUUUUGACCAAAAUUCAAUAUUGAUGAAUAUUAAACAAGUAAGGAAGGUGCAGAGUGCACACUUGGUUAAGUUCAUUCAAGAUUCAAAGUAGACUGUCAAUUAGGGGCGAAGCCCCUAAACGAAUAGGGGUCCAGGGGCAACGCCCGUGGGAGCGGGGUCCAAGGGGCGGCAGCCUAUGGCGGGGUCCAAGGGGCAGAGCCCCUGGCUAGGGUCGAGCUGCUAUAUAAAAAAUGCAUUAGAAAUCUGAAUUUUUUGUAAAUGAACCCGAUUUUGACUUCAUUUUGACAUUUAUUAAUAAUCCAGUUUUAGUGGCAGUUUAUGACGGUUAUAAACUGUUUUUGACAGUUUGAGUAGAUUUUUGGAAAAAGAAAAGUGUCUUGACAGUUUCCAGACAAAUGAAGUAUUUAAUUAUUUUGGUCAUAAUUUUUUUGGUACAAUAACAAUCACAAAAAUCAUAAGUUUAUAUUAUUUGUUCUUGAAACUCUUCUGAGUCUUAUAGAUUAAAGGUUGGGAGUACCACCCAAAUACUUUAAUCUGAAAGUGUACUCACGAUUCUCAGAAUUUUCAAGCAUUUUAUUAUCCCGAAUUUAUAACAAAGAAUGCCGAAGGAGAAGGCUAUAACAAUAGUGAAAAAGAUUUGUGAAUGGUUGGCUUAGCUUUUUGAGAAACAUUUUAUGGUGUUAAACUCAAUUACUCAGCAAAUGAUUUAAAGUGUAUUUCUGUGAAUCGGAUGAAGUUUUAAUAUUUUGGUAAAUUUCUCUAAAAUACUUAUGAUUAAUGUCAUAGUUCAAGCAUCAUUGUCAUUUAUGAAAUUUAAUAGAGCAUAACCACAUGCAAUAUAUAAAAGAUAUUAUUAAUGUUCAUACCUAAAACCAUAUGUUACGUAUUUUUGAUCAACUAAAUAAUUUGAUUAAUUGAAUAAAAAUUGAUUUGUCAAUAUCUUCUCUGUAAGAUAAAACAUUAAAAGUUGAAUUCAAAAAUUACGUCUAUGUACAAAAACUUAUAAAAGAAAAUUUAUUUAAGAUCAAUUUGUAAAUUGGAAAUUUACAAAAUUUUCAUAUUUAUAAGCUUAUAUCAAAAGUAUUCAUUCUUAUUUGAAAAAUACUCAUUUUUAUGUUUUAUGUACACUGUCAGCCUACUUUUUUUUUGUUUGUCAAAUUUUACAGCUUACUGUUAUCUAAUUCUGCAAGUUACCAUUGCGUUCAUUAUAGAGGUAAUCUAAAUGAUGCCGAGCUUUAUUUUACGAAGAUAUAACUAUCGACUUCUAUCUGUUUUUUAUCACACUCUAAUAUGAUUUUUUCGGCUUGUUGCUAUUAGUAUUGAUUUUGUAAAUAGGAAAUUUAUUCAAUAAUAAUUAAAAUUUUAUAAACAUAAUUUUCAAUAAUACAUGAAAAGUUGCAUUUGAUGGAUGACAUGACUUGGAGAGGUAUGGACGGCCGUAACUGUGGGUCCGUUAGUGGUAUAAAUUUAAACAAAAGAAUAAAUAGUUGAAAUAAUAACAAAAGGAUAUGUAGGAUCAAGUGAUGCCCGACCCCACUCCACAUCGGAUCAUGGUCAUACCUUGUCAUUAUAUGGCCUUUUCCAUCCUAAAUGCAAAGGUAAAUUAAACACACGAAUGAUAUUUUUAAGACGCAUUGACAUCGAUUACAAGAAUGUAAGGUUGUCAAAAAAACGUUAUGUAGUACUUAUUAAGUCGAUUAGGUUAAGGGAUUAAUCAAUGUAAACCGGGAUUAAUCGGAUACUCUAGAAUAAUAAGGAAUUUAUUUUAAAAAAAGAAAUAUUACCAAUAUCAUAAAAACAUUAGUAAAUAACCAUAAAAGACUCAUCAUAUAGUGUUUAAACAUUUAACUCACGAAUCAUCACACAUUAAAUUCACAACCAGUGUCAAUGUUAAGACCGACAUUAAGAGAAACAAGAAGUUGUUGUCGAUUCGGUCAAAGAAAGUGGAGUCAAAGAGAACUAAUGAGAAGUGAGAACCAUAACUUUUUAUUUAUCUUUUGUUCUCUAAUUUUUGAAUUUUUUUUUCAAGUUUUUAUUGAUUAUUUGACUUCUAUUUUGACUUUUGUUGACUAUUUUAUUAAAUUUGACAUUUUAAUUUUGUUGACAAAUUUUAACCGAUUAUGACCGAUUAGAAUCAAUUAGUGUUGCUUAGGAUCAGUUAGAACCAUGACCGGUUAAGAUGACCGACCAGCAUUAAUCGUAAGCGGUUAGAGACCGUCUAAUAUAUAUGUGCAUACUAAUUGGCGGCCUAAUAAACAUAACAUAUAGACAAGUCACAAACUAAUAAACAUAAAAUAUAGACAAAAUUAAACUUACGGUCCCUAUGGUUUAUCCAUGAUCACAAACUAAGUCUACGCUACCUGAAAAGACCAAAUUAUCAUCACACUAACGGACAAAAAACUAACAACGUUAACAAAAAAGAUCAUUCACACAAGUUUUGGAAAUCAUAAAGACCAUGUUCAUCAAAAAAAAGUUAGCAAUGACUGAGUUUGUAACGUUUGGUAAACCACAUAUAUGUUAAAUGAAUAUAAAAAUUAUGUUAAUCUAUAUUUUAGGAAAAUAUCAUCAUACAUCAUACCAUAUGUUUUUCGAAGAAGACCAUUUUCAAUUUUGAUUUGUGAUGUAAAGCUAUUUGAAAUUCAUAAUUUUGGAAUCUAACUUGGAAGUUUUUUUUCUUUAUGAAAAUGAUCUUUGAGUUUAAAAAUCUAUAUUCACGACGUAAAGUUAUUUUAAAAAUAAUUCUAUUUGAAUUGUAGAAUUUUUUAUCUAUAUUUUUGAACUCACUUAGAUUUUUAAGAAUCUUUUUUUUCUAAAAAAAGUAAAAUUCUAAUUUUUUUUAAAUAAUUUCGAACUAAAUUAUUAGUUAUGAAAACAUUUAUGCAAAAAUAUUGUUCAAAAUUUAGAACAUUUCUAAAAUUUUAGAAAUAUUUUUGUUUUUAGUUUUUUUAUUGUCACAUGUCUAUUGAAGGUAGUUUUUUAUGUGAUUCAAUAAAUGUUUAUCAAAACCUUCUAAAAGAUAAGAUGAGUUGUGCAUAUAAAUGUUAUUUAGGGGGUAUUUGAGAGUGUUUUUUAAACUCUAAAAGUGAUUUUAGAUAAAAAUGUUUAUUUGUUUAUAAUGGUGGUAAAAUGAGUUUUUUUAAAAGUGUUUCGAUAUGUUUUUAUGGUUAAAAAACUAAUAAGUCAAUAAGUUAAAAAGUGUUUGGUUUAAAAAGUGCUUUUUUGUAACACAUAAAUUUUCAACCAAAAUUUUCAUUUUUCAAAAGUCACAAAACUUCUCAAAAUCAUAGUUCACAAAACUCCAAAAUAACAUUUGUCAAAAACACAUGUUCAUAAGUUAUUUAAACACAAUCCAGGAUCCCCAAAUCAUAAUCCGCCUCGUGUGUACAAUCAUGCCGACACUUUCAUGUGAUCCUGAGAAGUAAUUGAAACACAUAAAACAUAACACGGUAAGCACGAAGCUGAGUGGGUUCCCCAAAAUACCACACAUAUCUCAUUAGCCUCUUAUAGAUAUACUCAAAAAAGACCCUCCAGUCAAUGUGUCUCAGUGGGACCCUCCGUCCCACAACUCGUGUGGACCCUCCGGUCCUAACUCAAUAAGCUCAGAAUAAUAACAACAUAAAUCACAAAGACAAUAUAAAGGAUAUCACAAUACUCAAUAUAAACAUAUAAGACUCUCCGGUCACACAAAGGUUACCACUCUAGGUAAAUAUAGUAAAAAGACUCACCUCGUAAGCAAGCAAGUAAAUAAUCUCGUACGCGAAUCUCGAACUAGCCUCCGCCUAACACAUAAGAUAAUUAUCUCUAAUUAACAUUUAAAUCACGACUCUAAGUAAACUAGGUUAUUCUCUCUCUCAAACUCUUGGAAUGGGUAAAAGACCAUUUUACCCCUCCAUGGUCCCCACAAUCCCUGCCUUGACCAAACCCUAAAGUCAAUAGAAGUCAACACUCGAGUCAACGGUCCAUGUUGACCUAACUCGCCGAGUGCAUCUAUGUUACUCGCCGAGUCCCCAUUGUUCCUUCAGAAAUGACGCAAAAACCCAGCUUAACUCAUCGAGUUGUGUCAUCAACUCGCCGAGUAACCUGUUGGAAUAGUGUCUAAGGCUGCAACUAUAUUAGGCAAGUACUUGACCCGGUUGUGCAUGGCCCUUUUGGGUUGCCUUCACCAUAGCAACUUGACAGGAUGAUUUAUUAUGAGAGAAGAAAUAUUAUUAAUAUAUUAUGAGAAUAAUAUAAGGAAUAAUAAUAUUAUUAUUUGAUUAAUAUAAGUCAUAAAUUAAUUAGGAAUUAAUUUGGUGACUUAAAGAGAUUAACUGAAUAAAGGGGCAUAAACUGUCAAUUGUAUGAUAGUUGUACUUUGGGCUAUAAAUCCCUUAUGGAUAAAGGGGGACGGUUUUAAGGACUAUGGAUAGGCCUUGAAAUCGUCCAAAGGCUUAUCAAUUAGGGUAUUGGAUUGCUUAGGGCCUAAGUUAUCCAAUUAGGGU